UCAUUUGCUUUUACUUCAUAUUCAUCAAGUUUCACUCAUGGGUCUUCACUACACAUUCCUUUACAUCUCCCCAAUCAUUUCUGACUUUUGAAAACCCAGUUUUCCUGCAAAUGCCAUCCAUGAUAUUUUGUGAAGCAUUGUAAUAAUAACAUGACAAUAUCUGUAAUCAGGUUGUUUGCAGGUUUUCAAUGUGACUGAGAACAUGAGUCAGUCCUUCUGUUUUACAUGUGCCUGUAGAACGUGACUUCAUAUGGCCGUGUGAGUGUGUUUAUUUUAAUGUAAUCAGUGAGAUGUCCUCCCAUUCAGCUGAGGGGCAGCAGUGACUCAUGUGGGACAGAGUGUUCUAAAAGUGCCCAUGAACUUAUUUGUAUAAGCAAAUGUACUGUGAUGUUUAGAUGCAUGUGUAUUUAUAUGAGAGAACUGUCUGCCUUUCUACCUUUUUCCGAUUAUUAUUUCAUUUUAAUUCAAACUGCUGCCAUUGUCUUCUUGAUGGUUGUUUUCAGUCAGAGGAAGCAACCUCGACCUGGUCACAAUAUGACGCUGUCCAGAAAUGGUGCUAUUGGAGUGUCGCUGACCAAGCUGCAGUGUUUGACGUGUCGGGAGCGAGAACGUGUUGGUAUUCUCUGACACCAUUUUAUAUUCACACUGAGGCCACUUUAGCCAUUGCAUUGUUAUCUUACAUUAGGUAAGUUUACAAAGAUCAUCCUUUGAUUUUGAGACAUCUUGUUACUUCCUCACAGCAAGAAGGUGCUGGGGAUUUUCUAUGCGGAGAAGGUUAGGUUGAUUGUCGACUCUAAAUUUCCUGUAGGUGUGAAAGGUUUUCUGUCUUUAUGUUUCAGCCCUUUGAUUGACCGGCGACCUGUCCAAGGUGGUGGGUUCCAGCCCACUAUGCAAUCCUCAAGGGUUACUAUGGAGUAUGGAGUCUUGUAAAACAAACAUUAGCUUGCCUACAUUCUGUAAUUCUCACCAAUGCAUUGUGUUUGAGGUUUAACAAAUGUGUAAAGUGCACUUCCUUCAUCAUAAAAUGAUUUUUAUGUUUA